rnacentral:rRNA from 1 species
GACGAACGCUGGCGGCGUGCUUAACACAUGCAAGUCGAACGGUGAACCCGCUUCGGUGGGGGAUCAGUGGCGAACGGGUGAGUAACACGUGGGCAACCUGCCCCCGGCUCUGGGAUAACUCCAAGAAAUUGGGGCUAAUACCGGAUAUGACCGCUGGCCGCAUGGUCUGGUGGUGGAAAGAUUUAUCGGCUGGGGAUGGGCCCGCGGCCUAUCAGCUUGUUGGUGGGGUAGUGGCCUACCAAGGCGACGACGGGUAGCCGGCCUGAGAGGGUGACCGGCCGCACUGGGACUGAGACACGGCCCAGACUCCUACGGGAGGCAGCAGUGGGGAAUAUUGUGCAAUGGGCGAAAGCCUGACGCAGCGACGCCGCGUGGGGGAUGACGGCCUUCGGGUUGUAAACCUCUUUCAGCAGGGACGAAGCCGUGAGGUGACGGUACCUGCAGAGGAAGCACCGGCCAACUACGUGCCAGCAGCCGCCGUAAUAC